AGCAGCCGCGGUAAUUCCAGCUCCAAUAGCGUAUAUUAAAGUUGUUGCAGUUAAAAAGCUCGUAGUUGAAUUUCGGGAUCAGUACGCUGGUCGUGCCUUGUGUAUGUACUGGUGUCACUGGUUCCUACCUUCUGACGAACCGUCAUGUCAUUAAUUUGGUGUGGCGGGGAAUCAGGACUGUUACUUUGAAAAAUUAGAGUGUUUAAAGCAGGCUCGCGCUUGAAUACAUUAGCAUGGAAUAAUGAAAUAGGACGUUCGAUCCUAUUUUGUUGGUUUCUAGGAUUGACGUAAUGAUUAAUAGGGAUAGUUGGGGGCAUUAGUAUUCAAUUGUCAGAGGUGAAAUUCUUGGAUUUAUUGAAGACUAACUACUGCGAAAGCAUUUGCCAAGGAUGUUUUCAUUAAUCAAGAACGAAAGUUAGGGGAUCGAAGACGAUCAGAUACCGUCGUAGUCUUAACCAUAAACUAUGCCGACUAGGGAUCGGAUGAUGUUAUUUUUAAUGACUCAUUC
rnacentral:sRNA from 1 species